UUUCAUUAUAUUUUAUAUUUUCUUUAUUGUUUUGUAUCACAUUACAGUAUCAUAAUGAUUUUCGUGUGAAUAUUUUUGGAUUGUGGGACAAAUCAUCUGAGGUUCCAUUAUUUCUUAUGGGGACAUUGGCUUUGCUAUACAAGUGCUUUGGAUUACAAGAUGUUUCUGGAACAAAUUAUGCUCGCAAACUGAGGCUUUUACUGUAUUUAGUUUUUUGUAUAUUUAAAGUAGCAUUGGUCAUAGUUUGUAUCUUAUAAAAUUAGUUUCAGUGCUCUGUUUAUGAGAGCUUUUAUAGUAUGUUAGAGCCAGUUUGGACUUCCAUCCCCAACCAAGUUGGAGGUUGGUAGGACACAAAAGGUUUUGCUCAGACCCAAAUGCCGCUUGAAAAAAAGGAGAAAUAUAAGCCCUUUCUAAUCUCUCUGGGAGCACAAAUGAUUUAUAGAUAUGACAUUUAACCACAAUCCCUUUGAUAUCAUUUGAGUUCAGCAAGGAACAAUUUCUUGAUGUUGUUUGUUUGAACAGAAAUAGCAAACUUGUGCAAAUGUUGGGCAAAGAUUUCUUCUAGGAACUCUGAAAAAGAUGAUUAUGUCAGAUAUAUCUGGACACAAUAAAUGACAGUCAUGUUAUUUCCAUCUUUUUAUUUCCCAGGACAAAGGGGCAAAUUCAGCAUAUGAUGAGUGUUGGGGCUUCAGGACAAUACAAGGAAGUUUGGCUGUGAAGAAUUCCUUUGGAUGUUAAUUUUCAUGAUUAAAUGUGUGAUUGAAACUGAUGCAAAAAAACUUCAAGAAAAGGAGGCAUGUAAAGAUGACAAAGACAAAGAUGAUAGACUGUUUCUUAAUGACCGAACAAUUGUUAACACUAAGAUACCAGAACCAGCAAAUUGUGGAUAAUAACUGAAAGCCAGAUCCUCAGAUAAUUUAAUCCUUGAGAAAAGACCACGGAAACAGAAGAAUAAGAGAACUCAGAGCCAUCAACAGAUAAAUUCCAGUGGACUUGAUCACUGGAAGAUCACUCAAAGAUUCCCGUCUUUGUAACUUUUAAGGACUCCUUGUACAUUGUUAUGUGGGACAAUUGACAGACACUAAUGCUGGAAGCCGAGCCAUCCCAGCCUGAGUGCCAAAGCCUGGGCUGUGGACGGAUUGGUGACUGCAAGGCGGCCAACCGACAGUGAAGCUUCUUGUACUCCUGCUUUUAGGUAAUUUGGCCUUAAAACUACCUGGGGUAUAGUCUGUUGGGGAAUUGCCCUUGACAGGCCCCCUGGGAAAAGAACCAGUAGGAAAGGAAAUAAGGUUCCGCAAGAAAUUGUGCGGCCUUACGUUUCGCCCUUGCCAUCCCCUAUGGGGACACCUCAUACCUUUGCCAGCAAAGAGGGCCUGUAUAGGAGAGACAUAUGGAUUUGAAAGCCCCACUCUGGUAACUAAGGAGUGUAUCUAUGGACACAGGUCUCUCUGACCCCUAGGCCCACUUGGCCCCCAGGAGGCAUUCCAGAUGAUGAUUGAACCUAGUUGGUUAAGUUACAGAAUGGUUCAUUGGUUCCUAGGUGCAUUGUGUCUCUGAGAAUGUAUAAGGCGUGGGUUUCUAAGGCCCUCUUGGCCCCCUUCCUGGCACCUCGGACCCAGGCGAACACUUUGGUUCUUCAAAACCACAAAUGGUUCAGGGAAACAACUAAGAGGUCAUGUCCCUGUAACUGUUCCAUUUGAGGUGUUGAGAGAUAAAUAACCUUUCGUGAAAACAACAAAGCAAAUACUUUAUAAAUUAUAGAUAAACAUAGAUACAUAAUAAAAACAAUAAAAGAAAUUAAUCAAUAAGCAAAGGGCAGGAGGGAACGUUAUGACAAAACAAUCAUGUUAUUCCUUAUUGGGUGAUUAUACAAAAGAACAAUUUUAGAAUUGGGUAAUGUUAGAAAAACAUAGAUGACGUAUGUUACAAGGAAAUCAUUAACAUAUAUAAUGCCACGUUUACUGCAAUAAAUCGGCCAGUUCAACACA